rnacentral:rRNA from 1 species
CCUACGGGUGGCAGCAGUCGAGAAUCAUUCACAAUGGGGGAAACCCUGAUGGUGCGACGCCGCGUGGGGGACUGAAGGUCUUCGGAUUGUAAACCCCUGUCAUGUGGGAGCAAAUUAAAAUGAUAGUACCACAAGAGGAAGAGACGGCUAACUCUGUGCGAGCAGCCGCGGUACUACAGAGGUCUCAAGAGUUGUUCGGAAUCACUGGGCGUAAAGCGUGCGUAGGCUGUUUCGUAAGUCGUGUGUGAAAGGCGCGGGCUCAACCCGCGGACGGCACAUGAUACUGCGAGACUAGAGUAAUGGAGGGGGAAGCGGAAUUCUCGGUGUAGCAGUGAAAUGCGUAGAUAUCGAGAGGAACACUCGUGGCGAAGGCGGGUUCCUGGACAGUAACUGACGCUGAGGCACGAAGGCCAGGGGAGCGAAAGGGAUUAGAUACCCGGGUAGUC